rnacentral:rRNA from 1 species
GGCUCCCUGUGAAAACCAAAUAGGGAGUCGGACCUGCCCGGUGAAUAUUUUAACGGCCGCGGUACUCUGACCGUGCAAAGGUAGCAUAAUCAUUUGCCUUAUAAUUGAAGGCUAGUAUGAAUGGUUUGACAAGAGUAUAGCUGUCUCUUUAUGAUUUUAUAGAAUUUUAUAUUUAGGUGAAGAAGCCUAGCUAUGAUUAAAAGACAAGAAGACCCUAUCGAGCUUGAAAAAAAUUAAUAGAUUAUUCAAUAAUAUGGCUAAAAAUUUUUUUCUAUUAAACAUUUUAGUUGGGGCGACCGAGGAACAAGAAAAGCUUCUUUGAAAAUGAAUGUCUUACAAGUAAUGAUCCAAAGGUUUUGAUUAAGGGAAUUAGUUACCGUAGGGAUAACAGCAUUAUCUUUUUUGAGAGCUCCUAUCGAAAAAAAGGUUUGUGACCUCGAUGUUGGACCAGAAUAUCCCAAAGAUGCAGCAGUCUUUAAAGGUUGGUCUGUUCGACCAUUAAAAUUCUACG